GGGGAAUUAACUCAAUUGGUAGAGUAGCUGUUUUACUCACAGAAUGUUAAGCGUUCAAGUCGCUUAUUCCUUA
rfam:Ophiostoma piceae TAMH 11346 chromosome Tnknown scf47, whole genome shotgun sequence.